rnacentral:lncRNA from 1 species
GGAAUAGAAUGGAUUGCCCCAGGAAAGUGUGAGCUCCCCAUCAGCUGAGAUGCAUCAGCAGAGGCCCGUCGAUCAGUUGGAUGCUGUGAGGGAGACUCAAGAAGAGGAAAUGUUGGGUCGGUUCUCAUAAAUAUUGGAUUUGUGAGGAAAGAGGAAGAAACAGCUAGUGUGGAAUCUGAUCAUUUCCAAAGUCUGGUUCCCAGGAAAGACACCUUGAUAAUUGUUCUACUGUUAGAAGACAGCUUCAAGGCUUCCGGCCCUGGGAGAUGGAAGUGGUCCAGCCAUAGGACCUGGACAGGUGCUGUUGAAAAUUGCCUGGUGGACAAGCAGUAUCAGUCAGGAUGGGCCAAGCUGCGCUGCAAUAACAAACAACCCCCCGAUCUUGGAGGCUGAGUCCAGCGAAGAUGUCUGUCUCACCUACACUACAAGGGCCAUGUAGCCUGCCAGGGCGUGCUUGGCUCAUUAGAGUCACCCAGGGACACAGAAUAAUGGAAGCUCCUUCACGACACUUGCUUCCACCAGUACCACAACAGGAUCAGAGGUCUGUCGGCAGUAGCUUUAAAGAGGUCAGAAAUGGAUUCUGGAGUCUCUGCUCCAACUACUCCUUUUCUUUUUCUAAGUUCAGCUUCUUAUCUGUAAAAUGAGGCUAAUGAAAAAGCACCUACCUCACAGAUGUGCUGGGAGGUUAACUGAGAGGAUGGAUGGAAGCCCUUAGCUCAGAGUCUGGUUCACAGAAAGAACUCAAUAAAUG